AACUAGCCCCCACUGGUUACCUAGCUGACCCCAGGGGCUGACAGACCCAUAGAUAAUCCAGAAGAGGAGACAUAGAAGGGUCUGUAUCAGGCUGGGGGCACUGGGGCAGGUGGGCCUCACAGUGAACACUUCAGUCUAGUGUUUCACUUCUAGUUAGUUACAAGACUGAAGACAUGGGAUUUGGGCCAUUGUGUAAUAAAUGCCACUUCCAUUUUUU
rnacentral:lncRNA from 1 species